rnacentral:misc_RNA from 1 species
GGACUUCGCUUACACUUCCCUCCGGUCGUCGUCGUCGAUCAUCCGGUGGCCGCAGUUCAUGUCGUCCUCGUUCUUAUCGACGAGGUGGGCUCCAAGUGGAGUACUGAUGAAUUGGGACCCACAGUGGUUCUUGAGGUGGCCUGAUCUGGAUUUCUCGAUAGUAGACGACGUUGUUUGGAGCUUGAUCACAGCAUUUGAGUCCGUGGCUCUAGUGUCUAUGCUUUGCUUCUUCUUUCUCUUCUGUGGCUGCACCGUUUAAUCUCGUUUACCGCGUGAAUUAACAGUAGAAUGUUGUAGAAGAUGAAGUGUUCGGAAUCUGAGAUCACCGGAGGGUUUGGUGACGGAGUUAACGAGGGCUGUUGCCUGGUAGAAGAUCAGGACUUGGUUGUAGAGGUAGAUGAGUGAGCACGUGAAGUUUUCUUUUUGCCUGUUAUUUCUUCUUUGUUUUUUUGGGUUGGGUUUUAGAUGUGAGAGCCAAUACAGGAUGGC